GGCGGCAAUACAUUUUUUAAGGCAUUGGCAGUAUUUUCAGAUUAACUGGAUAACGAAAGGAGAUAUCUAUAAUCCCCUUUGUAAAUAUUUUUCUAUUUAAUAUAGAAACAACAUGAAAAAAUAAUUUUAAGCCUGGCUUUUUCCAAUGGUCCGAUUCUUCGUAUCAAAAUAUAUACACAUUUGCGCAUAUUUUAUUAGAUAUAGCCUAAUUAGCAUAUCUUAACAUACAUUUACAGAAAACUUCCAAUGCAUUUUCUUCUUCUAAUCAUUUUCAUAAAGAUAUCUGUAAGUUAAAAAAAAAAUCCUAUUCACCUGCCGUGUCUCGCCUUAAAUCACUACAUUGGCUCCCUGAAUGUCAGAGAAUUGAUUUUAAUCAGCAAUUUUUAUUGAUCUCUACAUGGUUUAGGGUCAAAAAUAUUGAACUGAUUUACUUCCACUACGUAAGCAUCCUAGACCUUUACGAUCUUCUUAAAUUGUCCCCCUCUGUAUCUUUUUAAAUCAAAUCUUAAACCUCAUCACUACUCUAUUGCCUUUAAUUCUGUUUAACCUUUCUUUUACCUCCUCUUUAUUUCAUAUUUUAGUCUUUUGAUCAUGAUUGGACAUUGAUUCUUUGCAACGUCUAGCCAACAUUAUCAUCAUACUGUCAUAGGUGAGUGCUGCAUGCAGCGCUCAACUAUUGUUCUUCAUAAGUUUUAUUCUUUCUUUCUUUCCUCUUUAUUAUUCUCCACAAACUUUGGGACCUAUCUCCUUCCUCAAUUUUUCACCUAGAGUUUUAAGUUUUAAACUUUCAGAGUAGCUUAUUUUUCAGAUUUUAUAAGUAUUUUAUACUUUCUAAGAUAAUCUACUUUUAAAAUACUGUCUUUUUUUAACAUGGGAGGCCUCCCUACUCUGGUACUUCAUCUGUUUAAGACGUAACUAACUUGCAUUAUCAAUAAUAUCUAAAGGGAAUUUCGCUAUAAUUUAAAAUUUCUUCAGAAUCAGUUUUAGUUUCCUACCGGCUUUGUUUUCAGCUGUUUUCAUUGAAGAUGUCUGCCCAUUCUGACACACCUACUUUUUAAGACAUCGUAACUCAAUAGAUUUCAGUUGGUCUCAAUGAUUUACGUUGACGCUGGAUCGUGCAGACGUUUAGCAGUGUUGCAAGAUUGGGCGGUUUUUCUCGCCGGAUUGGGCUACUUUUGGAGGACGUUCCGGCAGUUUUGCCAGAUUGGGCGAUUUUUCCCGCUCUAUUGGGCUACUUUUAAUCACACACCGACAUUUCAGCAUUUUUAGCAAUGCUUUGCGCUUUUCAUUCUGCUGCACUUUAUUUGUUUCCAACUAUUUACAUUUCUUAAAUGGUUUGCAUGUUUACAUCAUUUAGACUUUUGAACUCACUGUAUUUUUCUGCAGGAAAUGCAUUUUCUAGUUAUUACUGUUUUACUGUUAUUAUGGUUGUCAAAAAAAUAUGAUUGUUACUUGUUUAAUUGUUAUAUUG
ensembl:lncRNA